GCUUGUGCCCGAGCCUGGGCGGCCUGAGGGGCGCGGAGACUCGGAGGGGAGGGAGACGGCAGUAGCAUGGCGGCCGGGUAUGAGCCGCCCAACGUUCCUUAUCCUCGCUGUCGCCGCCGCCGCCGGAGUCGCUGGGACCUUUUGGUCUGCCUGUGUUAGUUGUAAGCCCGCUGCCCGUCCGUCAGCCCUCGGGUCCACCGGCCCUCCUUCCUUUCACCGCCACUGCCAGCCCGAGGGUCGGUCUGGCGAAUAACUCCUACUCCCACCCCACCCACCAGCCCGCCGGCCGGGAUCAUGGAGGACGUGAAGCUGGAGUUCCCCUCUCUUCCACAGUGCAAAGAAGACGCUGAGGAGUGGACCUACCCUAUGAGACGAGAGAUGCAGGAAAUUUUACCUGGAUUGUUUUUAGGCCCAUAUUCUUCUGCUAUGAAAAGCAAGCUUCCUAUACUACAGAAACAUGGAAUAACCCAUAUAAUAUGCAUAAGACAAAAUAUUGAAGCAAACUUUAUUAAACCAAACUUUCAACAAUCAUUUAGAUAUUUAGUCUUGGAUAUUGCAGAUAAUCCAGUUGAAAAUAUAAUACGUUUUUUUCCCAUGACUAAAGAGUUUAUUGAUGGGAGCUUACAAACUGGAGGAAAAGUUCUUGUCCAUGGAAAUGCAGGGAUCUCCAGGAGUGCUGCCUUUGUUAUUGCAUACAUUAUGGAAACAUUUGGAAUGAAGUACAGAGAUGCAUUUGCUUAUGUUCAAGAAAGAAGAUUUUGUAUUAAUCCUAAUGCUGGAUUUGUCCAUCAACUUCAGGAAUAUGAAGCCAUCUACCUAGCAAAAUUAACAAUACAGAUGAUGUCACCACUCCACAUAGAAAGGUCCUUAUCUGUUCAUUCUGGUACCACAGAUCUGUGCGACCUGCAGACGUAACUCCUAUUGGCCACCAAAGCCAGCAGUCAAGGAGCAUCCUCUGGGUGGCAGAUGCAAAAACCGUUGUGCCAGAUAUCUGCAUAAAUUCCUUCGCCCCUCAAGCCAAAGCUUCUAAGGUUUCCAGUUGUUUACAAUGGGAGAGCAAAUUCUGUACCAGUUGCUUCAUGAUCAGUAGUGGAACUCAGUAUUUACAACGUUGAAUCUUCCAAUCCUUGUAUAUUUAUCUAGGUCUUCUUUGCUAUUUAAGUAAACUUUAAAAAUUCUUUCCAUAGAGUCUAACAUUUAGUGUUAGAUUUAUUCCCGAGCCUUCAUACUUUUAUGCCAUCACUAAUGGUAUUCUUUUAAAUUU